UGGGGAAUAUUGGACAAUGGGCGAAAGCCUGAUCCAGCAAUUCCGCGUGUGUGAAGAAGGCCUUCGGGUUGUAAAGCACUUUAGUGGGGGAAGAAACAGCUUGGCCACACCAAGCCUUGACGGUACCCCAAGAAUAAGCACCGGCUAACUCUGUGCCAGCAGCCGCGGUAAUACAGAGGGUGCAAGCGUUAAUCGGAUUUACUGGGCGUAAAGGGUGCGUAGGUGGUAUUUUAAGUCGGAUGUGAAAGCCUGGGGCUCAACCUCAGAAUUGCAUUCGAUACUGGGAAACUAGAAUUCGGUAGAGGGCGGCGGAAUUUCCGGUGUAGCGGUGAAAUGCGUAGAUAUCGGAAGGAACAUCAAUGGCGAAGGCAGCCGCCUGGGCCUGGACUGACACUGAGGCACGAAAGCGUGGGUAGCAAACA
rnacentral:rRNA from 1 species